GCCGUUUGUUUUAGCCAGCUUGCAGCAAUGGCACGCCGUGCUGCCAAUGUAAUUUUAUGGAGGAGUUUUUGUUCCCUCCGGGUCCACCCCUCUAACGAUCUGCUUAAUAAGUAAACCCAUGGGUCUAGCUCUGGGGCUCGGGCAAAGACUUGGGUUAUCAUUCCUCUAACCUGCGUCCAGAAGUUGUGUAUCACCGGACAGUCCCACCACAUAUGCCUAUAUGUUCC